UACGUAGGGGGCAAGCGUUGUCCGGAAUCAUUGGGCGUAAAGAGCGCGUAGGCGGCCCAGUAAGUCCGCUCUGAAAGUCAGGGGCUCAACCCCUGAAUGCGGGUGGAUACUGCUGGGCUAGAGUCCGGAAGAGGCGAGUGGAAUUCCUAGUGUAGCGGUGAAAUGCGCAGAUAUCAGGAGGAACACCUGUGGCGAAAGCGGCUCACUGGACCAUAACUGACGCUGAUGCACGAAAGCUGGGGGAGCAAACAGG
rnacentral:rRNA from 1 species